rnacentral:tRNA from 1 species
GCCCAGGUGGCGGAACUGGUAGACGCGCGGGACUCAAAAUCCCGUUCUGGCAACAGAGUGCGAGUUCGAUUCUCGCCCUGGGCACAA